GGUUUGAGCCUGGAACAUAAAAAAAAACACACAAAAAAUAAUAAUAAUUUAUUUGGAAGCGGAAUAGCCCAUCAGUUUCUUUUUGCAUAUAUGAAUCCACAAAGAAACACAACCUCACGAUCGUUACACAAUCUCCAUCAACUUCUAUAGCUGUAAGUUCAUAUUAUUGACUCUGUGUGUGUGUGUGUUCUUGUUGUCUAUGCUAUUAAAGUUAGCACAAUUCAUCUUUUGGGUAUUUUGAAUUAUAUAGCUGUACAGACAAUUAAAAACCCAUCUCCAUCUGAUCUGUAAACUGGGUUUUUGUUUGUUGGUUUUCAAUUUUUUGAAUGAAAUAGAUGAGAAAGCUGUUUGGAAGCUAUUUGUACAUGGGGUUUUAAGCUUUUGGUGCUUUCCUAUUAAGUUGCAUAGAAGUUACACCCUUUAAAAGUUUGUAACUUUGUCAAUAGAUUGAUUGCUUCGAAUUGGGAUUUCACUCCACAUGAAUGUUAUGAUGUUUCUCACAACAUUGAAGUAAUGGUGGGUUACCUUAAUUAGUGUAUUUUGAGGAUCUCAAUAUAUUAUUAUUAUUAUUGUGGUGACAAAACAAGGAAGAUGCAGAGGGUACGAAUUUCAUCGCACCAGGCACCAGUGCACAAGUUAGGGGAUUCCCAAAUGACAUUAUCCCCAAAAUUUAAGCUAGCUGCAAUCCAAUCUUCUCUAUUGCAUCCUUGUUUGGACUUGGAACUAUAUCAGAAAGGAAAGCUCCUAAUUCCAGGUCUUCCGGAUGAUAUAGCUCUCAAUUGCCUCCUCCGCGUUCCUGUCCUGAGACAUCCACCUUGCAGAGUCGUCUGUAAGCGUUGGUAUCUCUUGUUUAGCAGUAAGGACCGGUUCUUCACCCUGAGAAAGGAACUUGGAUUCCGUGUUCCUUGGCUCUUCGUCUUUGCCUUCCACAAAUGUACCGGUAAGAUUCAGUGGCAGGUUCUUGACCUUACCCAUUUGUCUUGGCAUGCCCUCCCUCCAAUGCCUUGCAAGGACAAGGUUUGUCCCCAUGGAUUUAGGUGCAUUUCAAUCCCGAGUGAGGGCACUCUCUUUGUUUGUGGUGGCAUGGUCUCUGAUGUCGAUUGCCCCCUCAACAUGGUAUUGAAAUAUGAAAUGGAAAAGAACCAUUGGACUGUGAUGAAAAAGAUGAACACUGCACGUGCGUUUUUCUCAAGUGGCAUAAUUGAUGGGUUAAUUUAUGUGGCCGGAGGAAACAGCACGGAUCUGUUUGAGCUUAACUCGGCUGAGGUCAUGGAUCCUGACAAAGGGAUUUGGAGCCCAAUUGCAAACAUGGGAACAAACAUGGCCUCGUAUGAUUCGGCAGUUUUGAAUGGGAAGCUCCUCGUGACAGAAGGCUGGUUUUGGCCCUUUUAUGUUGCACCCAGAGGUCAGGUUUAUGACCCAAAAACUGAUAAUUGGGAAAGUAUGGCUUCUGGGCUGAGAGAAGGCUGGACUGGUUCGAGUAUUGUAGUUUUUGGGCACUUGUUUGUGGUCUCAGAGCACGAAAGCACCAAGCUCAAGGUUUAUGACACAGAUACUGAUUCUUGGGACCCCGUACAAGGACCUCCUUUACCAGCACAGAUAUGCAAACCUUUCUCAGUAAAUUGCACUGAUAGCAGGAUCUUUGUUGUGGGUCGUAACCUUCAUGUUGCCGUGGGUGAUAUCUCCAGGCUGAAUCCAGGAAGCAAAUCUGAGAAAAAGUGGAGCUUCUCUGUUCGAUGGCAAGUGGUGGAUGCACCAGAGGCCUUCUCUGACUUGACACCCUCAAGUGCACAGGUUCUCAUUGCUUAACUCGGUUUUAUUAUGGUGAUAUUAUGUUUUGGUGAUUGUUGCUUAAGUGGUAAUUAUACAAUGUGUCGUUUAGCUAUAGAGCUUUUCUUUUGCGUCUACAUUGACUACUCAAAUGUACGAGGACAACAAUACCAAUCCUGAUUUAAUGCUCCACUGGUUAAACCUUGUUCAGCUUUUGAUAAAAAUGUAACAUGUCAGUAUUUCAUUGAUGAUGCUACUAGUAAUGAUAAAACUGCGGACUCAAUGUUGCUACAGAAUAUUGAAUCACUUUUCAACUAGCUAGAUGAACUGUUGAUUACGUAGGCCGUUGUUGAUAUAUGUGAUGGCUUACCAGCUGUAAAAUAAAGUUAGUACAUUACCUGAA